rnacentral:rRNA from 1 species
AUAACAAUACAGGACUUUUUCCAGGCCCUGUAAUUGGAAUGAGUACACUUUAAAUCCUUUAACGAGAAUCUAUUGGAGGGCAAGUCUGGUGCAGAGUGACUGACCCGUGCGUGCUGCAGCUGAAA